UACGUAGGGGGCAAGCGUUGUCCGGAUUUAUUGGGCGUAAAGAGCGUGUAGGCGGCCAGAUAGGUCAGCUGUGAAAACUCGAGGCUCAACCUCGAGACGUCGGUUGAAACCAUCUGGCUAGAGUCCGGAGGAGGAGAGUGGAAUUCCCGGUGUAGCGGUGAAAUGCGCAGAUAUCGGGAAGAACACCCGUGGCGAAGGCGGCUCUCUGGGACGGUACUGACGCUGAGACGCGAAAGCGUGGGGAGCGAACAGG
rnacentral:rRNA from 1 species